rnacentral:rRNA from 1 species
UACGGAGGAUCCAAGCGUUAUCCGGAUUUAUUGGGUUUAAAGGGUGCGUAGGCGGCUUAUUAAGUCAGGGGUGAAAGACGGUGGCUCAACCAUCGCAGUGCCUUUGAUACUGAUGAGCUUGAAUACACUAGAGGUAGGCGGAAUGUGACAAGUAGCGGUGAAAUGCAUAGAUAUGUCACAGAACACCGAUUGCGAAGGCAGCUUACUAUGGUGUGAUUGACGCUGAGGCACGAAAGCGUGGGGAUCAAACAG